rnacentral:rRNA from 1 species
UGAGUUUGAUCCUGGCUCAGGAUGAACGCUGGCGGCGUGCUUAAUACAUGCAAGUCGAACGGAGAACUUUGUAGCAAUACGAGGUUUCUCAGUGGCGAACGGGUGAGUAACGCGUUGGUGACCUGCCCCGAAGUGUGGGAUAACAGUCCGAAAGGAUUGCUAAUACCGCAUGUGGUCAUCGGAUUUAGAAACCGAUGAUUAAAGGAGUAAUUCGCUUCGGGAGGGACCUGCGUCCCAUCAGCUAGUUGGUGAGGUAACGGCCCACCAAGGCGUCGACGGGUAAGGGACCUGAGAGGGUGGUCCCUCACAAUGGCACUGAAACACGGGCCAUACACCUACGGGUGGCAGCAGUAGGGAAUAUUGGGCAAUGGGCGAAAGCCUGACCCAGCAACGCCGCGUGCACGAUGAAGGCCUUCGGGUCGUAAAGUGCUUUUCUGAGAGAUGAGAAAGGACAGUAUCUCAGGAAUAAGCCUCGGCUAACUACGUGCCAGCAGCCGCGGUAAAACGUAGGAGGCAAGCGUUAUCCGGAUUUACUGGGCGUAAAGCGCGUGCAGGCGGUUCGGUAAGUUGGAUGUGAAAUCUCCCGGCUCAACUGGGAGGGGUCGUUCAAUACUACCGAACUUGAGGGCAUCAGAGGAAGGUGGAAUUCCCGGUGUAGUGGUGAAAUGCGUAGAUAUCGGGAGGAACACCAGUGGCGAAAGCGGCCUUCUGGGAUGUUUCUGACGCUCAGACGCGAAAGCUAGGGUAGCAAACGGGAUUAGAGACCCCGGUAGUCCUAGCAGUAAACGAUGUAGACUUGGCGUCGGUGGGUUCAAAACCAUCGGUGUCGAAGCUAACGCGAUAAGUCUACCGCCUGGGGACUACGGCCGCAAGGUUAAAACUCAAAGGAAUUGACGGGGGCCCGCACAAGCAGCGGAGCGUGUGGUUUAAUUCGAUUCUACACGAAGAACCUUACCCGGGUUUGACAUGCAGAUGGUAGGGAUCCGAAAGGUGACCGACCCGCAAGGGAGUCUGCACAGGUGCUGCAUGGCUGUCGUCAGCUCGUGUCGUGAGAUGUUCGGUUAAGUCCGCUAACGAGCGCAACCCUCGCUACGUGUUACAUGUGUCACGUGGGACCGCCGGUAUCAAGCCGGAGGAAGGUGGGGAUGACGUCAAGUCAGCAUGGCCUUUAUGUCCGGGGCUACACACACGCUACAAUGGUCGGUACAAUGGGUCGCUAAGCCGCGAGGUAGAGCCAAUCCCCAAAGCCGGCCUCAGUUCUGAUCACAGGCUGCAACCCGCCUGUGUGAAGUCGGAGUUGCUAGUAAACGCGCGUCAGCUAUAGUGCGUUGAAUACGUUCUCGGGCCUUGUACACACCGCCCGUCACGUCAUGGGAGCUGGUAACACCUGAAGCCGGUAGCCUAACCGUAAGGAGGGCGCUGUCGAAGGUGGUGCUGGUGACUGGGACGAAGUCGUAACAAGGUA